rnacentral:lncRNA from 1 species
AUUUGAGGCCUGCCGGAGUCACAUAGCAAGUUCCAGGCCAGCCUACCACAGAGUGAUACCCUGGUUCACAAAAAGGCAGGAAAUGAUACAGGACAAGAGAUCUAUUCUUCAACAGAGAGAUUGGACAAGGAGGAGAAGAGAGAGAGAGAGCCUUCUACAGAGGUGUUCAGAAUGAGGAAGGAGAGGGACAGGGCUGGCUUGUAGGACAGCUCAGGAAGGCCUGGAGACAACUGGGGGCACAGCAUGUUUGAGCAUCAAGAGCUGAAUGGAGCCAAGCCCUGCCCCUCUUCUGUCACUGCAUCUGAGCCCACAGAAAGGCAGUUUGAUCUGAAUCCCCUACACUGCCACCAGCACACUGUAUGCCAUUAAAAUGAGAAAAAUGCAG